AGCAGGACUGGUCCUGUGGCCAACACACCCUCUACCAACCCUGCAUGGGGCCCCUGACCCCCAAGCCUACAGGCAUACACAUCCCACCAUGAAAAGACCCCAAUCUUCCUGGUGUGAGGGCAGGCAUCAUUUCAGGGUAUCAUCCUCCUGCCCUGUGUGGACAAUGCUGAGCCCCUGAGAGCCGGGAGGGAGGUACCCCAAUACCCAUCUCUUCCACAGUGAAUGUUGCUCCUCAAAGGGUCACUUCCAAAGAAUGCCAGGUGGCACGCACCAGGAUUUGGCAUCUGACAUGCUCCCGUCUGCUCCCUGGGACACUCCAGAUUACAAAGCAAUCAUCCUUUGUAAGCGCUGACGGAGAACAACUGGCUGCUGCCCUUUAUUUAGCAGGGAACACACUAAGCUAUGGACUCCUGCAGGCUCUGUAAAUGUCCGUGAAAUCAGCCUGGUGACUCCAAGCCCAGUGUAGACUUCGGGGGCCCAAAGAGACCAAGGGGGAGCCCCUGCCCCGGUCUGGCUCUGAGAACAGCCUCCAGGAGAAAAUGCCAAGCCUCUGGAACUCGUGGCAGCUGCUCAACCCGGCAAGUUCUUUCUCGGAAAUCGCUUCUCCCCGCUGAGAUCUGGGCUGGCUCUGCACGUUCUGGCCCCCUUUAUCUGCUGGAUGGAGCUGCCUGGGCACCUCCAAAGGCUGCUCCCGUGCAGGUGGGGCCUUUGGGAAGUGAUUAGGUCAAGAGGGCAGAGCUCUCAAGAAUGGGAUUAGUGUUCUUAUAAAAAGAGUCCUUGGAAAGUUGCCUUGUCCCUUCUGCGGUUUGAGGACACAGGAAGGUGCCAUCUAUGAAUCAGAAAGCAGGCCCUCACCAGACACCAGACCUUCUACUGCCUUGAUCUUGGACUUUCCAGCCUCCGGAACUAUGGGGAAUGAAUUCCUGCGGAUGUCAUGGGGACAGCUGUUGUUUCUGUCUGCAGAGCGUCUGUUCCUCCUUCUCCUGGAAGCCCUGUCCUGAUUUUAUUUUUGACAGAGUUCCUUUAAAGAAUGUGCAAAAGGAUGAAAACCUUACAAACUAGAACAGCGCAUGACAUGUGAUUUCUGAAGAUUUCAAACAUGCAAGAGUAAAAGGAAUGAUGGGAUGAACCUUCAUACCCAUCACCCAGCCUCAGCUCCUGCGGCCAAACUGGUUUCAUCUACAACCACCGCUGCUUUUUUUUCCUCCCCUCAUUCUAUUAUUUUGAAGCAAAUCUCAAAUACAUCUGUCCAUCUGUAAAUAUUUCUAAAAGAUAACAUUUUUGUAACAUAAUUAUCA
rnacentral:lncRNA from 13 species